rnacentral:rRNA from 1 species
UACGAAGGGGGCUAGCGUUGCUCGGAUUGACUGGGCGUAAAGGGCGCGUAGGCGGUUUGCACAGUCAGACGUGAAAUUCCUGGGCUUAACCUGGGGGCUGCGUUUGAUACGUGCAGGCUUGAGUUCGGAAGAGGGUCGUGGAAUUCCCAGUGUAGAGGUGAAAUUCGUAGAUAUUGGGAAGAACACCAGUGGCGAAGGCGGCUCACUGGCCCGAUACUGACGCUGAGGCACGAAAGCGUGGGGAGCAAACAGG